AUACCAUACCAUUUGCAUUGUUCAUAACAGCCAAAACGUGAAGACAACCUAAAUGUCCAUCAACGGAUGAAUAGAUACCCAAAGUGUGACAGAGGAAUACAACAGAAAAUUAUGAAGCAGUUAAAAAAAGGAAUGAAGUAAUGGUGCAUGCUACAAUGUGGAUGAAUCUCAAAAACAUUUGUUAAGUGAAUGAAGCCAUUACAGAAGACCACAUAUUGCACAUAUUGCAUGGGCCCAUUUCAAUGAAGUAUCUGGAAUAAACAAAUCAUUAUGGAUAGCAGGUAGAUUGGCGUUUGCCUAGGGCUAGGGGAAUUAGGGGGAAAUGGGUAGUGACUAUUAAUGGGUAUGUGGGUGAUGAAAGUGUUCCAAAACUGAUUGUCACAGUGAUUGUGUAACUUUUUGAAUAUGCUAAAAACCAUUGGAUUAUACACUUAAAAUUGGCAAGUUAUAUAGUA